rnacentral:rRNA from 1 species
UACGUAGGUCCCGAGCGUUGUCCGGAUUUAUUGGGCGUAAAGCGAGCGCAGGUGGUUUAUUAAGUCUGGUGUAAAAGGCAGUGGCUCAACCAUUGUAUGCAUUGGAAACUGGUAGACUUGAGUGCAGGAGAGGAGAGUGGAAUUCCAUGUGUAGCGGUGAAAUGCGUAGAUAUAUGGAGGAACACCGGUGGCGAAAGCGACUCUCUGGCCUGUAACUGACACCGAGGCUCGAAAGCGUGGGGAGCAAACAGG